AGCAGCCGCGGUAAUUCCAGCUCCAAUAGCGUAUAUUAAAGUUGUUGCAGUUAAAAAGCUCGUAGUUGAAUUUCGGGAUCAAUUUGCUGGUCGUGCCUUCGGUACGCACUGGUAUUAUUGGUUUCUCCUUUCUGAUGAAUCGCGAUGUCAUUAAUUUGGUGUCGUGGGGAAUCAGGACUGUUACUUUGAAAAAUUAGAGUGUUUAAAGCAGGCUCACGCUUGAAUACAUUAGCAUGGAAUAAUGAAAUAGGACGUUUGAUUCUAUUUUGUUGGUUUCUAGGAUCGACGUAAUGAUUAAUAGGGAUAGUUGGGGGCAUUAGUAUUCAAUUGUCAGAGGUGAAAUUCUUGGAUUUAUUGAAGACUAACUACUGCGAAAGCAUUUGCCAAGGAUGUUUUCAUUAAUCAAGAACGAAGUUAGGGGAUCGAAGACGANCAGAUACCGUCGUAGUCUUAACCAUAAACUAUGCCGACUAGGGAUCGGAUGAUGUUAAUUUUUAUGA
rnacentral:rRNA from 1 species